GAGUGGAAUAAGGUACUUCAGAAAAGGCAGAGGCACCAGGGAAUUCUUGUGGAGUAGUCCUGUACUUGACCUAAUCACCCUUCAGCCGCUUCUUGGAGAUCUGUGUCCUUGACUGAGAGGCUCAGGGAGUGCAGCCUUUAAUAAGCACCCAUCGGUAUAGGCACACAGGUGACUUUAAGACAUGCCACCAUAUGGAUCUGGUGGCUCGGGCCCAUAAAUUCAGCUAGUCUACUUAGAAGCUAAGGCAGGGGGAUUAUAGGUUCAAGGUCAGCCUGGAAAACUUGGUAAGACUAUCUCAAAAUAAAAUAUAUGUAUUUUUAAAAUGUUUGAAUGGAUAAGGGUUAUGUAGCUCAGUGGUAGAACAAUCGCCUGGCAUGUGAGAGGCCCUGGGUUCUGUCCACUUUCAAAGCUUGGUGCCAGCAUGCCCUCCUGCCUCAGUGGGAGGCUAGGAGACAGACCUGGGGGGGCUUCUUAAGGAUGUGUCAUGGAGGGUCAGCCUUGAGGAGAGGUGCCAGUCUGCCAGGGAAUGAAGAGAUAGAGGAGAGAGAAGUUCAGAGUCUUGUGUAUUGGGGUACCCCAAGGGAAACCCUAAACCAGGUCCAGCAGAGGGCAACACUUUCCCAGCUAACCCAGCUUAGAACAGAGUCAUGACCUGUGGCCAGCCCAGGUCUGCCAUGCAGAAGGCCUCUGAGGUCUAUCGAGACAGCUGGUCGGCUAAAGCCACAGAUGGAGUUACAGUCUUAGAGCUUGAAUUCAGUGAAGGCCUCUUGAGACUGCAGAAAGGAAAGAGGCUGUGGACGUGGCAGAGAAAAGUGUUAGAGAAGUGUGAGAGCAUUAGACAUCCCUUAUAAACCUGAGUGUCAUGGAGUACAGCAUCUAAGAAAACUUCUCCAAAGUGUGUGUGUGUCUGUGUGUCUGUGUGUGUGCGCAUGCGUGCACGUGUGCAAGGUGUACCCAUGAGCCUGAGUCUAUAUGUGUGUCACAUGGCUCUUGAAUCUGUGCAGAAAUAUUGAUACUUCUGUGUGGUGAAUGCCCGGCACAGCUCCAACCUAAGUAGAUGCUUAGCAAUCAAGAGUGUCCAGUGCACUGCACAGAACCAUCCAACUCUUGGGUCUGGAGGACUCACUGAGAGCCUCUGGGCUCUGUACUGGAUCACUCUCACUCCUAGCUCAUGAACAGAGGGGACAGAGACCACAGCUGUUCUGCACUGACAAGGGUUUCCAAGGGUAAGGAGCAAUAUCUCUUCUCCCUGGAGGUGAAGAGACUUCUGGGAUCCAUUCCUGCAAGUGAGCUCAAAGCAGGAGGAAUAGAAGCUAGUUGCUGAGGAAGAGAGUUCAGAGGUGUGGGCAGGCGAGGGGACAGUGAGCAUCUUUAUAUUGUGAUUCCUGGUGGGGCUUGAGUCAGGGCAGUGAGUUUAGUUUCACAGACCAGGCAUCACCACUAGAACCUGACCAUGCGAUGGGCUGGCGAUCCUGAAUAAAGGAAUUCAUCAAGGAGAGUGGGGCAUCAAUGAGAAAGUUGGGCUCUGAGGAUGCUCCCAAGUUCCAGCAAUGUUGGGACUCCUUUAGGGCUCGGCAACCCUGAAGGAAGAACAUAGCUGCUGGCCGACAAGAGGCCACAUGGCACAGGAGUCCCAGAGAAGUCUGGGCUGAGGAACUUCGUAGUGAGUUCUGGGAGCAGAUGUAUGGGGCCCAUGGCUAGCAAACAGGAAAGGAAGGAUGGCCAGAAGGAUGUCUAUGUUGGGGGAGCUGGGGUACCCCCCCAGGAAGUGACUAGUGUCCAGCCCCAUGAAGAGGGAGUCACAUGAGUACCUGUCUCUCUGUUGGAUUUGGUCAGGUUUCCCCGCGGACUGUGGAAGAUGACAGCAUGUGUCGUCAGCAGGUUGAGGAUAUGGUGGAAUGGACAGAUCUGGCCCUGAGGAACUGUGUGAGCCUUCUCCCCUGCUACCAGUGUCCUCAGGAAGAGGAGCUAAUGCAUGUAUAAAGCCAUUACUUCAGAUGGAUGCCUGAAGAGGACAGCAGAGGCAGCAAGUACUGGCACUAUACCCAUUCCCUGGUACCAGUCAGACUUUUCAUCGUCAGUCAGUGUAGGCGACUGAGAGCAACCUGACACAUUCGGUCAUCUCACAGUGAUCAGAAGCAUCUUGGGACUGCUGACCUCCACCCUGAGCAGGGAUGAGAACUUCCCAAGGUGGACUGAUGAGGUGACAGACACUGGAAAGCAGCUUGAUGUUCCCCAGCUGCUUGCUGGUCCAGCUUACCCAACACAAACCAACUCAGUGAUGACACGUGAGUGCCUUUCCAGCCAGUGUGCACUCCUAGGGUCCAGGGCCAGAUACAUGAUCUUCCUGCGUUCCACUGACCCUGCAUUUUCUGAGGAGGUGGCUUGAGGGUCAGGGGUAGGCCAAGAUCUUAGACAGAAGGAGCUUUCAGCCCAUCUUUCCUGGCAUCUCCAUAUGUCAAUCAUGUAAAUCAGUUAGACAAUCUUUGAGGCCAUGAGGGAAUGAACCAACAAACUGUCAGACAGUCAGACAGUCAGUCGGGCAUCGAUUAGAAUAUGGCUGGCCACUAGCCUUGCCAGUCAGACAGUCUGAGUAUCACUCUUUACAUAGCAUGAUCUGGUCACCUUUCUCCAGAGUCCCCUCCUGAGACACCAGGGGGAUGUCCUCUCUGGAGCACUCCCCCUCACCCCUCACUCAGGAGGCUCCUAGGGUCUGAGGUAGUCCUGGCUGGUUGCCCAGCCAUGUCUGAGGAUUCGGACUUGGCAGCCUCCUGCCUGAAGCUUACGAACUGCCCUUCCUCCUCCCUCCCCCUCCCAAGGUGGGAACCCAGGCUCUGCCAAAGAAUUACUAAGCUGUGGUGACGUCAUGUUUCUCUGUCCCCACCGCCCUUAUAGCUUACCCUUCACUCUUGGCUGACCCUUUGAGGAUGACACAUCCCAUGUGGGGGAGGGGCCAUCCCUUCCCUAGGGCAUUUACAGAAGGUCCCCUCUCUCAGCUCAGCACAUGCAGACCAAGGGCUGCCUUCUUCCAGUGGAGUAACUAGGCUCCAGCCAUCAUAUCCAGUCCAAAUGCAAAGUUGGAUGCCUUCACUUACUGGAUGAAUGGCUGGAUGGGAGAGGUUACCUCCUGAACUCGUAUAAUAGGGAGCAGCAAUAGGUCCUUAUUGAGUGGGUUCCAGACUGACAGGAGGAGCCUAGCUUCUGCCUCUAUUUGUACAUGGACCCCUCUGUUUACUUUGAUUGCCUGUGAGAUGCUCACUCCUGCCUUCUUACUGCUGUCCUGCUCACUUAAGGGAAAAGACCAUUCAGUAAUAUGCUUACCAUACAAGGUCAGCAUUGCCUUCCAGGAACCAUCAAGGUCAUCCCCUAUAGUGGGGUAAAGCUUGGGACGGAGGUCCCAGGUUUCCACAUGAAAACUCCCAGCAUCAUCUUGCGCCCUCAGUAUGGUCAACAGCUCCCACCCCAACUCCCAAUGUGAGCUCUUCUUCCUCUCAGCCAAAAACAUUUCUGGGUAGAGGUUUAUGGAGGAUCAGCCUCAGAAUUUAACCAGGCUAUUCACCUCACCCGCUGCCUCCUGGAGUCUGAGAGCACAGAGUUCAGAACCUAGAGGGCUGUCUGCCUGCAGAAGUCUGCCUCCAUUUAAGCAGGAGACCAGAACAGGAGUGGUCCCUGCUGGAGGGCUCUGUCCACAUCCCCAUAGGAUGACCACUAGGCUGCCCUACAGCUGCCACUUCUCUCAGGUGUGCUGGCCAGAAGUCUGCUGCAGCAAGGCCUGUCACAGAGCAAACACUAUUCUCACCAACAGCACCAAGAGUAGAAUCUGAGGGUACUCGGCUCCCCAACAUGGGGGGUCUGUUAGGGAGCACACCCACAAAGUAGCCUGGCAUAAGGGUGUCUCACAAGGCUGUCCCCUUCAUGUAAGAGCAGCUGACGAACAGCCCACCACACUAAGGGGAACUGAUCACGGGAAGGGGAAGCAAGCAUGUGGAAGCACAAGCCAGCCUGAGGUAAGCAUACUUAGCAUGGAUGUAGCCACUGGACCAUGAGCUUGGCAGAGAUGCCAGGAGCAUGUGGUCCAUCGUUGGUAACACUCAAAUGUGACUUUCAGAAUAACAUUUUUUUAAAAAAGUUAGGAAAAUGAAACAAAGAGGGUUAACUAAACCUCAGGGGUAGAGUGCUUGUCUACCAUGCGUGAGGCCCUGGGUUCAAUCCCUGGUAUUGGGGGAAAAGAAAAUAAUGAAACCAGAAAUAGUUCCUCUGGAAGAAUAUAGCAUUAAAGAUUCUCACAGAAAGUGUGUCAAGAAAUAUGAUAUCCUGCUAAAAAAGAAAUCAUAAAACACACAGAGAAAACAGUCCAAACAAACGCAGAAGAAGCAUGGGUAGCAGAAGCAGACCAGGGGCAAUGAAUGGCGCUGUGAUUAGAUUCGGAGGCAGAAUUGAUAGAGUUGUGGGGGUUUUUUGAGACACGUUUCAUACAGCCCAGGCUGACCUUGAACUCUUGUUCCUUGUGCUUCCACCUCCCCUGUGCUGUGAUUACAAGUGCGCACCCCUGUGCCCAGCUCAGGGUGUUCUUGAAAAAAAAAUAAGAGAGACUUGAAAAAUGAGCACUUAACAAGGGGUCACACGAACAAAAUGGCUUGGGGAACUGAGCUCUGGGGAUAAAAUCUUUACAUUGUCAGGACUCAGAGUGCAGGUCAAAGGAACAGGAACAAAGCUGUCCUGACCAUGGGUCCAAGAGAAAGGAUGGGUGAAGUAAGGUGGGGCUAAGGAGACAGCAGGGAGGGCCCAGGGAGGAAGUGAUACCUGAAGAGGUGACAACUGGCAGAUUUUGAACAUUGAAGAAAAGCAUCAGACCUUAGAUCCAGAAAACCCAACACUUCUUAGAACAGGUCACCCAGUCAGCACUCUGGAGGCAGAAGCAGGAGGAUCCCUAUGAGCUUGAGGCCAGCCUGAUCUACCUGGUAAGUUCCAGACCAGCCAGGCCUACGCAGUGAGGCAAUCUCAAAACAAAAGCCAACCAACCAAUUAAAAAACAAAACAACAAAGAACAAAAACUGGGGCUGGAGAGACAUCUCAGCAGUUAGAACAGUAAGUGCUGUUCCAAGGGAUCCAGGUUCAAUUCCCAGCACCCAUAUAACAGCUCACAAUUGUCCAUAACUCCAGUUCCAGGGAUCCAACACACUCGCACAGACACACAUGGCAGACACCUGUGGUGGUUUGAAUAAGAAUGGCCCCCAUAGGCCCACAGAUUUGAAUGCUUGGUCACCAGAGAGUGGUGAUAUUUGAAAGGAUUAGAAGGUAUAGCUUUGGAACAACUGUGCCACUUGGGGGAUGAACUUUGAGACUGUCAAAAGUCUAUUCCAGCAUCCCUCUUCCUGCUGUCUGCAGAGCCAGACGUAGAACUUUUAGCUAUCUUUCCUGCACCAUGUCUGCUUACAUGGUGAAUGAUCCCCACCAUGAUGACAGUGAACUUCACCUCUGAAACUACAACCCCAACUAAAUGUUUUCCUUUAUAAAGGUUGCUGUGGUCAUGGUGUCUCUUCACAGCAAUAGACAACAUCAGUGCACAUAAAAUAAAAUUAAUUCUUGAAAGAGAAAAGAAAAAGGAAAAUGAUAGAAAGUCUUAAACAAACAAGCAGACAAACAUCAACGAAACUGCAUCUACACAUGUGGAUGUGUGCACACAUCACAGCCCAAUGAGCAACAGUCAAGACAGAGCUGGUGGGAGUGGCCAGAACUACCUGCCUCAUCACCCAACAGCCAGUAGGCAGUGGCUUCUUAACAGCUUAGUCCAAUCCAUAAGACAGGGGAGUGGUGUUUUAACAUUUCAGAAACUGGUGUGGCUAAAAGAACAUAACUGUUAAUCUAGAAGCUUCUAUCUCAUGAACCCAGGUUUAUGGUGUAAAGGUGUAGUGAGAAGGAGACUGACAGGUACUCUGAGGACAUAGUUAUCCUCCAUAAGGCCAAGGGCGAGACCAGGAUGCCCAUAGUCCUGAUCUACUUAUCAUGGCAUUGGGCAUUCCAGUCAAGGCAAUCAAGUAAGAGGAAAUGAGAGACUCUAGACUGAAAAGGAGGAAGAUGGCUGUACGUGUAGAUGUCCCCUUGACACUGUCAGAAAAUCCUAAGGAUUAUCUUAGAACUAAUAGACUGUGCUCCGGGCACUCGGACAGCAGCAGCUCUGUAGCUGAGAGUGCUGACUAUGCCUGCAGAGGGCUUGGGUUCAACUCCCAGUACCCACAUGGUGGCUCAUCUGUAACUCCAACCUCAGGGGAUCUGAUGCCAUCUUUUGGCCUCCACUGUUAACUGAUGCAAGCAGUGGGGGGGGAAUACACAUGAAUAAAAAUAAAAUAUUAAAAAGUAUUAAUAGGCCAGGUGUCAGCAGUGCACUCUUUUAAUCCCAGCACUCAGGAGGCAAAGGCAGGUGCAUCUCUGUGAGUUUAAGGUCAGCCUGGGCUACAGAGAGAAUUCCAGGACAGCCAGUGCCACACAUGCCUCGAAUAAAAUAAAAUAAAACAAAAAGAACUAACAAUUACUUUUUAUAUCUUUUUUCAUAAAUCAUGUCUGUCAUCCUACCUUUGUUUCUUUAUUAUCCCCUGACAUUCAGCCUUCCUUGCUCUCUUUUCUACCUGCUUUGACGUUCCGACAUGCACACUUAUUUACACAUCUACAUAUAUUAUUGGCUAGAUUCUGCAUAUGAGGGAAAGUAGGUGGUUUGUUUCUGCGAUUAUGUGACUCACUUAAUUCCUGAAAAAUUAAUGGUGGACAGCAAGGUUGAUUCCAGUUCUUUGCUGUUGGGAAGAUGGCAGCCACAAGCACGAGGCUGUAAAUACCUCUGUUAGGGACCUGUGUUCUCUGGGCAUAGUGUUCCUCUAGCUCUGAGUCUGCUUUUUGGGUUUUGUUGUUGUUUUGUUUUGUUUUGUUGUUGUUUUGUUUUGUUUUGUUUUGUGGUAGUUGCGGAUAAGUCCAAAAUUACAUUUGCUAGUGAGAGUGUAAGGUACAAUGUGAAGUGUUACAGCUUCCAUUCCAAAUGGCUAUUCUAACUGUUUAGAUGCUCGUUGAGGAAUAUAGACGUUGAGUCUGGUUGACUCUGAUGUGCGAUGUUUUUACAUUUGCUAGUCUUUUAUAAUAAAGUUUAAAAGUCUUUAAAAAGAGUCAACAAACAUGUUCAUCAAGGAUGCCGGGGCUAAGAUCAGUGUACAACUCCCCUCUUGUUUCUCUAGCACUAACCCUGAUGGACUUAAGAUAACAGCACCAUUUUCCGUGGCAUCAAAAUGAGUAAAAUACUCAGGAAUACAGUUAACAAAAGAAAGGCAAAGAUUUCUUCCUAAAACCAUCAGUUAUUGCUGACAUAAAUUAAAGGGAGCAUAAAUAGAUGGAAAUGUCUCCUUCUCCAUCCACUGGGAGAUUUCACGUUGUUCAGAGGACGAUACAGUGCAAAUUGAUUUGCACACUCAGUGCAACUCCUAUCAGAAUUCCAGCAGGCUGUUUUUACAGAAAGUGACAGGCUCAUCCUAAAAUGAAUAUGGAAAUUUAGGGGAAAAAGAAGAACUAAAACAAACUUGAAAAAGAACAAAGUUGGAGGCUUGGCACUCCCUGAGUUUAAACCAACCAUGACACUUUUAAGUAAUGAAGACAAUAUGACUUUGGCAGUGCCUGGAUCAAUGGAACAGCACUGAGAUCCUAGAAAUAAACCCGACAGGAACAGAAAAGGUGCCAAGACAAUUCGGUGGGCAAAGAAUAUUCUUUUCAACAAAUGGUUCUCAAGCAACUGAGUAUCAACACACAGAAGAAUGGAGUCGGGCUCUUUCCUCACACUGAGUACUAAAAUUAUCUGAAAAUCGAUCACAAGCCUAUAUCAACCAAAAAUGUUAACCCUCCUCAGAAUGCGUAGGAGGGAAGAUGAAAUCCUAAGAAGACCCUAACCCCAAAAGGAUAUCAAAAGGAAAAGCAGACAAAAAUGUCUGUGCCGUGACAAACACUAGGAGACAGUUCAGGGGACUGCAGCUCCUGAAAAAUGUGUCUGCAGACACACAAGAGUUAGUGCCAGACAGCAGGGAGGGGACCACCAGACUGACAAGCAGGCAGAGGGGUGAUGGGUGUGUGCAGGGUGGUGUGCUGGAAGGCCAGGCAAAAGAUUUGAAGAUCCUUUUCUUUGACCAGGCUGUAUGAAUGUCCGUGGGCACAUGGGGGAGGGGAUUAACAUUAUUAGCUAUUAGGGAAAUGCAAAUCAACACUAAUAUGAGAUAUUACUACUUCACACCUGGUAAGAUGG